rnacentral:rRNA from 1 species
UACGUAGGGGGCAAGCGUUGUCCGGAUUUAUUGGGCGUAAAGAGCGUGUAGGCGGUUUGGUAGGUCCGCUGUGAAAACUCGAGGCUCAACCUCGAGACGCCGGUGGAAACCAUCAGACUAGAGUCCGGAAGAGGAGAGUGGAAUUCCUGGAUGUAGCGGUGGAAAUGACGCAGAUAUCAGGAAGAACACCCGUGGCUAAGGCGGCUCUCUAGUACGGUACUGACGCUGAGACGCGAAAGCGUGGGGAGCGAACAGG